GGGUUGUGAGGUUAAGCGACUAAGCGUACACGGUGGAUGCCCUGGCAGUCAGAGGCGAUGAAGGACGUGCUAAUCUGCGAUAAGCGUCGGUGAGGUGAUAUGAACCGUUAUAACCGGCGAUUUCCGAAUGGGGAAACCCAGUGUGUUUCGACACACUAUCAUUAACUGAAUCCAUAGGUUAAUGAGGCGAACCGGGGGAACUGAAACAUCUAAGUACCCCGAGGAAAAGAAAUCAACCGAGAUUCCCCCAGUAGCGGCGAGCGAACGGGGAGGAGCCCAGAGCCUGAAUCAGUGUGUGUGUUAGUGGAAGCGUCUGGAAAGGCGUGCGAUACAGGGUGACAGCCCCGUACACAAAAAUGCACAUAUUGUGAGCUCGAUGAGUAGGGCGGGACACGUGGUAUCCUGUCUGAAUAUGGGGGGACCAUCCUCCAAGGCUAAAUACUCCUGACUGACCGAUAGUGAACCAGUACCGUGAGGGAAAGGCGAAAAGAACCCCGGCGAGGGGAGUGAAAAAGAACCUGAAACCGUGUACGUACAAGCAGUGGGAGCCUCUUUAUGGGGUGACUGCGUACCUUUUGUAUAAUGGGUCAGCGACUUAUAUUCUGUAGCAAGGUUAACCGAAUAGGGGAGCCGAAGGGAAACCGAGUCUUAACUGGGCGUUAAGUUGCAGGGUAUAGACCCGAAACCCGGUGAUCUAGCCAUGGGCAGGUUGAAGGUUGGGUAACACUAACUGGAGGACCGAACCGACUAAUGUUGAAAAAUUAGCGGAUGACUUGUGGCUGGGGGUGAAAGGCCAAUCAAACCGGGAGAUAGCUGGUUCUCCCCGAAAGCUAUUUAGGUAGCGCCUCGUGAAUUCAUCUCCGGGGGUAGAGCACUGUUUCGGCAAGGGGGUCAUCCCGACUUACCAACCCGAUGCAAACUGCGAAUACCGGAGUAAUGUUAUCACGGGAGACACACGGCGGGUGCUAACGUCCGUCGUGAAGAGGGAAACAACCCAGACCGCCAGCUAAGGUCCCAAAGUCAUGGUUAAGUGGGAAACGAUGUGGGAAGGCCCAGACAGCCAGGAUGUUGGCUUAGAAGCAGCCAUCAUUUAAAGAAAGCGUAAUAGCUCACUGGUCGAGUCGGCCUGCGCGGAAGAUGUAACGGGGCUAAACCAUGCACCGAAGCUGCGGCAGCGACACUAUGUGUUGUUGGGUAGGGGAGCGUUCUGUAAGCCUGUGAAGGUGGCCUGUGAGGGUUGCUGGAGGUAUCAGAAGUGCGAAUGCUGACAUAAGUAACGAUAAAGCGGGUGAAAAGCCCGCUCGCCGGAAGACCAAGGGUUCCUGUCCAACGUUAAUCGGGGCAGGGUGAGUCGACCCCUAAGGCGAGGCCGAAAGGCGUAGUCGAUGGGAAACAGGUUAAUAUUCCUGUACUUGGUGUUACUGCGAAGGGGGGACGGAGAAGGCUAUGUUGGCCGGGCGACGGUUGUCCCGGUUUAAGCGUGUAGGCUGGUUUUCCAGGCAAAUCCGGAAAACCAAGGCUGAGGCGUGAUGACGAGGCACUACGGUGCUGAAGCGACAAAUGCCCUGCUUCCAGGAAAAGCCUCUAAGCAUCAGGUAACAUCAAAUCGUACCCCAAACCGACACAGGUGGUCAGGUAGAGAAUACCAAGGCGCUUGAGAGAACUCGGGUGAAGGAACUAGGCAAAAUGGUGCCGUAACUUCGGGAGAAGGCACGCUGAUAUGUAGGUGAAGCGACUUGCUCGUGGAGCUGAAAUCAGUCGAAGAUACCAGCUGGCUGCAACUGUUUAUUAAAAACACAGCACUGUGCAAACACGAAAGUGGACGUAUACGGUGUGACGCCUGCCCGGUGCCGGAAGGUUAAUUGAUGGGGUUAGCGGCAACGCGAAGCUCUUGAUCGAAGCCCCGGUAAACGGCGGCCGUAACUAUAACGGUCCUAAGGUAGCGAAAUUCCUUGUCGGGUAAGUUCCGACCUGCACGAAUGGCGUAAUGAUGGCCAGGCUGUCUCCACCCGAGACUCAGUGAAAUUGAACUCGCUGUGAAGAUGCAGUGUACCCGCGGCAAGACGGAAAGACCCCGUGAACCUUUACUAUAGCUUGACACUGAACAUUGAGCCUUGAUGUGUAGGAUAGGUGGGAGGCUUUGAAGUGUGGACGCCAGUCUGCAUGGAGCCGACCUUGAAAUACCACCCUUUAAUGUUUGAUGUUCUAACGUUGGCCCGUAAUCCGGGUUGCGGACAGUGUCUGGUGGGUAGUUUGACUGGGGCGGUCUCCUCCUAAAGAGUAACGGAGGAGCACGAAGGUUGGCUAAUCCUGGUCGGACAUCAGGAGGUUAGUGCAAUGGCAUAAGCCAGCUUGACUGCGAGCGUGACGGCGCGAGCAGGUGCGAAAGCAGGUCAUAGUGAUCCGGUGGUUCUGAAUGGAAGGGCCAUCGCUCAACGGAUAAAAGGUACUCCGGGGAUAACAGGCUGAUACCGCCCAAGAGUUCAUAUCGACGGCGGUGUUUGGCACCUCGAUGUCGGCUCAUCACAUCCUGGGGCUGAAGUAGGUCCCAAGGGUAUGGCUGUUCGCCAUUUAAAGUGGUACGCGAGCUGGGUUUAGAACGUCGUGAGACAGUUCGGUCCCUAUCUGCCGUGGGCGCUGGAGAACUGAGGGGGGCUGCUCCUAGUACGAGAGGACCGGAGUGGACGCAUCACUGGUGUUCGGGUUGUCAUGCCAAUGGCACUGCCCGGUAGCUAAAUGCGGAAGAGAUAAGUGCUGAAAGCAUCUAAGCACGAAACUUGCCCCGAGAUGAGUUCUCCCUGAGACUUAGAGUCUCCUGAAGGAACGUUGAAGACGACGACGUUGAUAGGCCGGGUGUGUAAGCGCAGCGAUGCGUUGAGCUAACCGGUACUAAUGAACCGUGAGGCUUAACCUUACAACGCCGAAG
rnacentral:rRNA from 1 species